UAUUUGUUAACAUUUCAGCUUCAAAGUUGGCUGGCAUUCAACUGCUCCUCUAGCCCCAAAUUCUUUACCAAAAAAAAAAGGAUUAAGAUUGCAGCUGUAUGUCAGCGAUAGUCAGAGCUGUAAUAGCGAUUGAUCAACUACGUUGAUGUUUGUUCCUUACCUUAUUCUCUGAAAGGAAAAAAAAAAUAUAGAGGUGAUUGAAUUCGUUUCACUUGUCUAAUCAAGGUUCAGUGGUCCAUUGUCUUCAUGUUUUUGCUUAAAAAUGAUGCAUAGCAACAACUUAAAGCUGUUCUUAAAAUUUCGCACGAGUAUGACUCCAUUAAUAAAGAAGAGAGGGACAGCACAAGACCCCAUUUUAGAUGGAGUAGAAUUGUUUGCUUUUGAAGAAAUGGGAGUGGGUGUGGCAAUAAGAACUAUAAUUAUGUGUGUUACAGUAGUAUGACACAAGCAAUGACAUAGAUUUUAGGUUAUAUCUUGCUCUGGAUGUUUCUUUUUUUUUUAGAAGGCAUGAGUAUAGAUUCAGCAAUACUAAAAUGAUGCCUGUAAACAAAAUAUGUGAAUGAUGAAGAUUUGAUUGUUUAUGCUGCAUAAGCUUUGAUUGUUUAUGCUUUGCAACAUGAUAAAUGUCAUUCACCAUUAGAUUAAAUCUUAAGGAAGCUGCUCGAGCUUUAUAUAUACUUAUGGUAACCUGACCUGGCAAUCUACAACUAAACUUUCUUCCUCACAAGCCGAACCUUCACAAAAUUUUCUUUGAUAGGACUUGCUAUUGCCAUGGAUGCUGAUGUCUUUCAAAAGAGUAAAGCAAGCCACAUGCUGAUUCCAAGUAAUAAGAAAAAAUUUCAAUCAGAUCACCCUCAAGCAUCCAUCCAAAGGGCGCAUACACAUAACUAUAUCAACAGUAUCUGAACACCUAUAUGUUCUAUUCAGUAUCUAACAUCAAAAAUAUUUUAUGCGAGUUUUUUUUU